UGUGCUACUGGAUGUAGAGAGGAAUGUUUGCUCGAGAGUUUGAAUUCGGAUCAAAGAUAAUUUAAUCUAACAGUCUUUUAUUUAUAAAGAACUAUCAGAAAUAUGCUAUGUUUAUGGAAUGAUGGGGAGAACUUUGGAAUCCUGUAGCUGCAAGAAUGUGUAAGGAGACAACCAAAUGUAUGGUCUCUGGAUUCAUGCAGCCAAGGUACCAAUCUCUACAGUCCC
rnacentral:lncRNA from 1 species